AACGGCAGUGCUGGACAACUCACCAAGCACCAGUCGCAGCCUCACCCGUUGAGAUUUUGUGGUCGUAGGAGUGUUAAAAGUUUUAUUUCUAACUCGUUAUAGACACCUAAGACGACACCGUCUUCGCAGUUAUCAUGAAAGAUAGUCGAAACAACCCAGUUAUAACAUUUGCUUUUGUGCAUUAAUGGAUGUAUCAGAUGCAGAUUUUGACUCUUACUGGGAAAAUGAAUCUCGCAACAACAAUAGAAACCGAAUCAGAGUAGGCCGUCAAUACCAAGCUACGGUUCCACCACUGCUGAAACCUGGCGAAAGUGAUGGGCGCCGGCUGGAGGACUUGGAAACUCUCCGUUGGCGCCCGGAGAGUCUGUCUGACCAAAGCAUCGAUGAGUACCUGUCUAUGGCCAAAGCGGUGAGUCUGUUUGCCCGGGCCAUGGACAAAUGCCAGACAUCAGAAGAGGCCUCAGACGGCUGCUUGCAGACAGCACUUAAAGGCCUGUCAGACUUUGUCACCUCACAUCACGGAUGCCACCACGAUGCGGGAUGCCAAGUUGGGCCUUCCUUGCCUUCUGACUGGACACCUAAUGAAGCCAGUCUCUUUGCCAGGGCACUCGACGAGUGCGGGAAAAACUUCAGUGCCAUCAAAAAGGACUUUCUUCCGUGGAAGCCCGUGAAAAGCCUUAUUGAGUACUACUACCAAGGCAAGUUGGAGAAACAGGACCCACCCACAUCACUAGAUGAACCAGGGUGCAGUGGUACUGUCAAGGAGGAACCGGUGAAGCAGGAAAAAGUAGAGGAGGAGGAGGCUGAAGAAGAAGAAGAGGAUGAAGAUGAUGAUGAAUGUGGGAAGGAAGGGGAUGGACCUGUUCAGACAGAGACCAGUCCCCAGCAUGAAGAAGGUCCAGAAGUAAAGCCUAUGAGAGCCAAGCCAAUAAAGCCUGAAGAACCCUCCUCUGCCACUUCAAUGGGCAGUCUUAAGUUUUAUCUUGGAGGCCGCCUCGUUCUGAAAUUGAGUGCCCAGGAAGGUGGUGCAUGGGUCGAGUCGCAGGAUACUCCCCGCCUCGGAGUUCCUAAGAAACCACCUUCAGACGAUAGUGAGGACGAGGAGGCUCCCAAGCGACCGAGGGGUAGCUCCCUGUCAAUUUCGUGGCCUGAGACUGCGUUGGUGCAGCCUCCAGGAUCAAGGGCCCCCUCGUCUACGGGGGCCCCUGCCCAGGAGGACUCAACGGAUGACGAGCCGGACGAUGAGCCACAACAAAGUAUGCACAGAGUGGAAGCAGCGCAGUCCCCACAAGCACCUUCAUCAAAUCCUUCCUCAGUGUCAACAGCAUCCACAUCUGCAACCGCAUCGCCUCUUAAUCUCUCUGUACGGUCUUGGAAACCCGAAGCAAUCAGUCCACCUUCCACCCCUCGUAGGUGCAGCACUGCUUCUCCAAAGGAUGGUAUCAGGUCCCAGCGAAAAAGCAAAGGAACCAGGAUGGGCGAAGACGUCAAACCCGGUUCGAAGCUAUGUGCCUCUCAUCACACGUUGCUACCAGCCCUACUUUCCAUUACCCAACACAGAAGUCCCACUAGACCUGUCUUCCCCGGUUGACCGAUUUUCUUUGGACGCGAAAAGGGCGUCCCCGUCAGUGGCGCCGAAAUGACCAGUGUGGCCCUGCCAGCUGCAGCUCCUACUUUACGACCAGCAGCAGGUGCCUCACAAUGCGUUUCUCUACAUGGUCUUGUGCAAUGCACUUUAAGUGUGCCUGUGCUCCUGGAAAAGUGUGUGGUGUGCAGUUGUUCAUCUGAUGUUAGCAUGGGGAUGCGUGCAAAGGAACAUGUGGGUGUGCCAGUAUAUUUAUGCACGUACAUUGUGGCGUUGCCAGUAUCGUCGUCGGCCUUGUGGACUUUGCUCGGCUUGUGUCACAGAUGACGGGCCGUUGUACAUAGUGUUUAUUUAUUACUGAUUAUAACUCGUUUGUACCUAAGGCCAGCGGAUACGAGCACUCCGGUGGAAUUUCUCGAAGCAAAUGAAUAAUGUUUUAGUUAGGUA